rnacentral:rRNA from 1 species
UACGAAGGGGGCUAGCGUUGCUCGGAAUCACUGGGCGUAAAGGGUGCGUAGGCGGGUCUUUAAGUCAGGGGUGAAAUCCUGGAGCUCAACUCCAGAACUGCCUUCGAUACUGAAGAUCUUGAGUUCGGGGGAGGUGAGUGGAACUGCGAGUGUAGAGGUGAAAUUCGUAGAUAUUGGGAAGAACACCAGUGGCGAAGGCGGCUCACUGGCUCGUAACUGACGCUCAGGCGCGACAGCGUGGGGAUCAAACAGG